AAAAAAAAAAUCAUCCUCACAUUUUAUUACGUAUAUAGCUAUCCUUGUUAGAGUAACGAAGAAAAUGUCAUCCUCGAAGCUUGUGCUUAUUACUCUUUUUAUCAUAGUCUCACUUGUUAUGACAGUCCAAUCAUCGAGAAACGUGAAUCAAGAAGAAGGUGAUUGUUAUUGGGCAGGACCAUGCAAAUCCAUUCGGGAUUGUGAUAAACCCUGUGCAACAGCUGGACCACCACCACAUUUUACGAGGGGGUUAUGUGAACCUCACGGUUCUGAAAAAACUGAAUGUUGUUGCGUUUAGAUAUUACCAAACUAAAAUAUGAAUUUGGUGGUUUCCUAUAGAUAUUUAAAUAAAAUUAUCCUUUAUA